UACGUAGGGUGCAAGCGUUAAUCGGAAUUACUGGGCGUAAAGGGCGCGUAGGCGGCGACUCAAGUUAGAUGUGAAAGUCCUGGGCUUAACCUGGGGACUGCAUUUGAUACUGGGUUGCUUGAAUUCGGGAGAGGAUAGCGGAAUUCCCAGUGUAGAGGUGAAAUUCGUAGAUAUUGGGAAGAACACCGGUGGCGAAGGCGGCUAUCUGGACCGACAUUGACGCUGAGGCGCGAAAGCGUGGGGAGCAAACAGG
rnacentral:rRNA from 1 species